rnacentral:rRNA from 1 species
GCUAACGCUGGGACAGGUGACGGGGUAAUACGGGGUGUGCGAGGGUUGCUCGGAAGCACUGGGCGUAAAGCGAACGUAGGCGGUCCUUUAAGUCAGGGGUGAAAUCCUGGAGCUCAACGCCAGAACUGCCUUUGAUACUGAGAGACUUGAGUCCGGGAGAGGUGAGUGGAACUGCGAGUGUAGAGGUGAAAUUCGUACAUAUUCGCAAGAACACCAGUGGCGAAGGCGGCUCACUGGCCCGGUACUGACGCUGAGGUGCGAAAGCGUGGGGAGCAAACAGGAUUAGAUACCCCAGUAGUC